GACGAACGCUGGCGGCGUGCUUAACACAUGCCAGUCGAACGAGAGCGUAGAGAAAGCUUGCUUUUUCUACAAUCUAGUGGCAAACGGGUGAGUAACGCGUAAACAACCUGCCCUACGGAUGGGGACAACAGCUGGAAACGGCUGCUAAUACCGAAUACGUUCCGAAAGUCGCAUGACUAUCGGAAGAAAGGAUGGCCUCUAUUUAUAAGCUAUCGCCGGAGGAGGGGUUUGCGUCUGAUUAGCUAGUUGGAGGGGUAACGGCCCACCAAGGCGACGAUCAGUAGCCGGUCUGAGAGGAUGAACGGCCACAUUGGAACUGAGACACGGUCCAGACUCCUACGGGAGGCAGCAGUGGGGAAUCUUCCGCAAUGGGCGAAAGCCUGACGGAGCAACGCCGCGUGAGUGAAGACGGCCUUCGGGUUGUAAAGCUCUGUUAUACGGGACGAAUAAUCUUGUGGUUAAUACCCAUGAGAAGUGACGGUACCGUAAGAGAAAGCCACGGCUAACUACGUG
rnacentral:rRNA from 1 species